AUUGAACGCUGGCGGCAUGCUUUACACAUGCAAGUCGAGCGGUAACAGGCCUUCGGGUGCUGACGAGUGGCGAACGGGUGAGUAAUGCAUCGGAACGUACCCAGAGGUGGGGGAUAACGCAGCGAAAGCUGUGCUAAUACCGCAUGUGAUCUGAGGAUGAAAGCGGGGGACCGAGCAGCAAUGUUUGGCCUCGCGCCUUUGGAGCGGCCGAUGUCGGAUUAGCUUGUUGGUGGGGUAAAGGCCUACCAAGGCGACGAUCCGUAGCUGGUCUGAGAGGACGACCAGCCACACUGGGACUGAGACACGGCCCAGACUCCUACGGGAGGCAGCAGUGGGGAAUUUUGGACAAUGGGCGCAAGCCUGAUCCAGCAAUGCCGCGUGCGGGAAGAAGGCCUUCGGGUUGUAAACCGCUUUUGGCAGGAACGAAACGGUGUCCGCUAAUACCGGGCGCUAAUGACGGUACCUGCAGAAUAAGCACCGGCUAACUACGUG
rnacentral:rRNA from 1 species